rnacentral:tRNA from 1 species
UUAAUUGAAACCAAAAAAUUGAGGUCUUUCAUUGUUAAUGAAAUUAUAGAAAACUUUCCAAUUAAU